rnacentral:rRNA from 1 species
CAGUAGCGUAUAUUAAAGUUGUUGCAGUUAAAAAGCUCGUAGUUGGAUUUCUGGUCUGACGACGCUGAUCCGCCCUAGUGGUGAGUGUCGGUCGUUCGUCUGCCAUCCUUCCGCAGCGCAAUUCUACCUUUCAUUAGGACGGACUUGCAAUGUGGAACUUUUACUUUGAAAAAUUAGAGUGUUCAAAGCAGGCUUGCGCUAUGAAUACAUUAGCAUGGAAUAAUAAUUUAGGACUUUGGUUCUAUUUUGUUGGUUUUCAGGACGAAAGUAAUGAUUGAUAGGGAUAGUUGGGGGUGCUAGUAUUCAGCGGCCAGAGGUGAAAUUCUUGGAUUCGCUGAAGACUAACUUAUGCGAAAGCAUUCACCAAGGAUGUCUUCUUUAAUCAAGAACGAAAGUUGGGGGAUCGAAGAUGAUCAGAUACCGU